rnacentral:rRNA from 1 species
AACGCUAGCUACAGGCUUAACACAUGCAAGUCGAGGGGCAGCACUAGGUAGCAAUACUGAGGUGGCGACCGGCGCACGGGUGCGUAACGCGUAUCCAACCUUCCCGUUACUCUUGGAUAGCCUUCCGAAAGGGAGAUUAAUACAAGAUGGUAUUCAAAUUCCGCAUGUUAUUUGAAUUAAAGAUUUAUCGGUAACGGAUGGGGAUGCGUGACAUUAGAUAGUAGGCGGGGUAACGGCCCACCUAGUCUACGAUGUCUAGGGGUUCUGAGAGGAAGGUCCCCCACACUGGAACUGAGACACGGUCCAGACUCCUACGGGAGGCAGCAGUGAGGAAUAUUGGUCAAUGGUCGGAAGACUGAACCAGCCAAGUAGCGUGAAGGAUGAAGGUUCUAUGGAUUGUAAACUUCUUUUAUACGGGAAUAAAACACCUUACGUGUAGGGUCUUGUAUGUACCGUAUGAAUAAGCAUCGGCUAACUCCGUGCCAGCAGCCGCGGUAAUACGGAGGAUCCAAGCGUUAUCCGGAUUUAUUGGGUUUAAAGGGAGCGUAGAUGGAUUUUUAAGUCAGUUGUGAAAGUUCGGGGCUCAACCCCGUAAUUGCAGUUGAUACUGGAUAUCUUGAGUACAGUUGAGGUAGGCGGAAUUCGUGGUGUAGCGGUGAAAUGCUUAGAUAUCACGAAGAACUCCGAUUG